rnacentral:rRNA from 1 species
UCCCAGACUCCUACGGGAGGCAGCAGUGAGGAAUAUUGGUCAAUGGGCUUACGCCUGAACCAGCCAAGUCGCGUGAGGGAAGAAGGCCCUGCGGGUCGCAGACCUCUUUGGACGGGGAGCAAGGCCGCCGACGUGUCGGCGGAAGGAGAGUACCCGUAGAACAAGCAUCGGCUAACUCCGUGCCAGCAGCCGCGGUAAUACGUAGGUGGCAAGCGUUGUCCGGAUUUACUGGGUGUAAAGGGCGUGCAGCCGGGAAGACAAGUCAGAUGUGAAAUCCCGCGGCUCAACCGCGGAACUGCAUUUGAAACUGUUUUUCUUGAGUAUCGGAGAGGUAAUCGGAAUUCCUAGUGUAGCGGUGAAAUGCGUAGAUAUUAGGAAGAACACCAGUGGCGAAGGCGGAUUACUGGACGACAACUGACGGUGAGGCGCGAAAGCGUGGGGAGCAAACAGGAUUAGAUACCCCAGUAC